rnacentral:rRNA from 1 species
UACAGAGGUGGCAAGCGUUGUUCGGAAUUACUGGGCGUAAAGGGCGCGUAGGCGGCCUUGUAAGUCUCGUGUGAAAGCCCUCGGCUUAACUGAGGAUCUGCACGGGAUACUGCGAGGCUUGAGUUCGGGAGAGGAAAGCGGAAUUCCGGGUGUAGCGGUGAAAUGCGUAGAUAUCCGGAGGAACACCAGUGGCGAAGGCGGCUUUCUGGACCGACACUGACGCUGAUGCGCGAAAGCUGGGGGAGCAAACGGG